AUUGAACGCUGGCGGAAUGCUUUACACAUGCAAGUCGAGCGGCAGCGCGGGGGCAACCCUGGCGGCGAGCGGCGAACGGGUGAGUAACACAUCGGAACGUACCCAGUUGUGGGGGAUAGCCCGGCGAAAGCCGGAUUAAUACCGCAUACGACCUGAGGGUGAAAGGGGGGGAUCGCAAGACCUCUCGCAGUUGGAGCGGCCGAUGGCGGAUUAGCUAGUUGGUGAGGUAAAGGCUCACCAAGGCGACGAUCCGUAGCUGGUCUGAGAGGACGACCAGCCACAAUGGAACUGAGACACGGUCCAGACUCCUACGGGAGGCAGCAGUGGGGAAUUUUGGACAAUGGGGGCAACCCUGAUCCAGCCAUUCCGCGUGAGUGAAGAAGGCCUUCGGGUUGUAAAGCUCUUUCGGCAGGAACGAAACGGUGGAGGCUAAUACCUUUCAUCAAUGACGGUACCUGAAGAAGAAGCACCGGCUAACUACGUGCCAGCCGCCACGGUAA
rnacentral:rRNA from 1 species